rnacentral:lncRNA from 1 species
GCCCGAUUUUAUGGUGUUACAUCUUACAAAGUGUAUUCGAAUUAUUUUUGCCAAUAAUUCUGUUGAAGCCGGUGCUAGGGUCCAUCUAAAUGGAGGGGGGGGGGGGGGAGGGGGUUGUAGGUGGAGUCCUAAUCCCGAAAUCCCGGGUUAAAAAACACGAAAUCCCGAGUUUAAAUAAACAUAAAUUCCGACAUCCCGAAAUUCGAAAAAAGAAUUCCUUUGGUCAAUCCCGAAAACCCGAGCUUAAUUUCACCCGAUCACGUUAAAGGUCAUAUCCCCUCAUCUGAUCUUGCAUUGUGGUAUGAUUUUUUUUUUCUUUCUGGAUCCGGC